rnacentral:tRNA from 1 species
ACUUUUAAAGGAUAACAGCUAAUCCACUGGUCUUAGGAAC